rnacentral:rRNA from 1 species
CGGUUAUAAGAUCCCUCAAAGAUGAUGAGGUUAAUAGGUUCGAGGUGGAAGCAUGGUGACAUGUGGAGCUGACGAAUACUAAUCGAUCGAAGACUUAAUCAAAUU